UAAUUGUUGAGGUUUGCAUUGCAACUAUUCGAAAAUGAAGUGGCUGUCAAUUGCAUUUGUGUUGGGUCUGUUGGCUUUUGCUAGUGCCGAUCCCUUAAGGGGUGGUGACGUCAUCAUUAACGGACAUUGUGUUAGCUGCAAUGUUCAUGGAGGCUAAGGACUGAAGAACUAAACUGAAGAAUGCCAAACAGCACACAAACUACACAUUAUUUAGAUUCCGUAAUUGAAAUGGAAACUUAUCAAAUGAGAUUCUAGAAGCAAUGAUUGCAGCCAAAUCGCAUUUGUCUUAUGCACAGUAAAUAUAAUAAAUACACAUUUAAUACAUUGAUCAA
rnacentral:sRNA from 1 species